CGAAGAACCUUACCUGGUCUUGACAUAGUAAGAACUUUCCAGAGAUGGAUUCGGUGCCUUCGGGAACUUACAUACAGGUGCUGCAUGGCUGUCGUCAACUCGUGUCGUGAGAUGUUGGGUUAAGUCCCGCAACGAGCGCAACCCUUUUCCUAUUUGCCAGCGGGUUAAGCCGGGAACUUUAAGGAUACUGCCAGUGACAAACUGGAGGAAGGCGGGGACGACGUCAAGUCAUCAUGGCCCUUACGACCAGGGCUACACACGUGCUACAAUGGUCGGUACAAAGGGUUGCUACCUAGCGAUAGGAUGCUAAUCUCAAAAAGCCGAUCGUAGUCCGGAUUGGAGUCUGCAACUCGACUCCAUGAAGUCGGAAUCGCUAGUAAUCGCGGAUCAGAAUGCCGCGGUGAAUACGUUCCCGGGCCUUGUACACACCGCCCGUCACACCAUGGGAGUUUGUUGCGCCAGAAGUAGGUAGUCUAACCGCAAGGAGGACGCUUACCACGGUGUGGCCGAUGACUGGGGUGAAGUCGUAACAAGGUAGGCGUAGAUGA
rnacentral:rRNA from 1 species